CCGGGAUGCGUUGUUUGUGGAAAUUAAAAUGAAUUUAAUUUUAUUUUAUUUGCAGGUUUAUAUUUUGUUGGUAAUGGAGUGUCGGCAAUCAAUUGAUUCACUGGAUGUUGCGUUGGGAUGUCUUCUGGCUGCUUGCUUAGUUGCUGACAUAUGUACAUUUAUUAUGUACAUACAGUUAAUUUCGUACACCAUAUGUGUUUUAUUUAUUUAAUUGGCAGGUUUUGUCUUCAGCUUUGUAAUAAUUUGUAUGUAAUUUUGUGUAGUUUAUGUUGUUAUAUUUGUUGGCUCUUUUUUUUUUUUUUAGUUGUUUUAUUUUUUUAGGUUUGCGGCAGAUUUGGUAAGUGUUUUAAAUUGUAUUUUGGCUGAAUUUAAUUUUAUUAUAUUUGCAGGUUUGGUAAUAGAGUGUAAGCAGUCAAGUUAGGUAAUUUAUGUUGUUAUAUUUGUUGACUUUUAAUGAGUAUAGUGUUUUAUUUUCAGGUUUAAAGAAAAUUGGUGUGAAAAAGAAAAAGUGAUUUUAAUUGUUUUUACGCCAAUUGAAAUCUUAUUUAUAUCUGCAGUUUUAUUUUUUGCUGGUUUGAUGGUAAGGUGUCAGCAAUCAAGGUAAGUAGUUUAUUGUUUUAUUUGUUGGCUUUUGAUGACUGAUGUUUGUUUUAUUUUCACUGGCUGUUGCGCUUGAUGUCUACAACUUGUUUGCGUAUUUACUGACAUUGAUUGUUAUGUAAAUAGUUAUUUUGUACGCCAAUACAUGAUAGAUUUGGUGGGUAGUUUAUUGGCUUUUAAUGAUUUUUUGUGAUGAUUUUAACUUUAUUUAUUUACAUUUCAGGUGGUAAGGUGUCAGUAAUCAAGGACCAGCUUAGAAUUUGUCGAGCAAAGUUGGGGGAUUCCAUGUAUGACGUGAGGGGCCUUCACCACAUUUUGAUGCAGCUUUAUUCCAGUGCCAAUGUUAUUUCAAGCGUGUCUCUUGGAAAGGCUGUUGCUCCUGAUGUCUACAAAUUGUUUGAGUUUUUCUAUUUUCAGAUUCAUGAUAAAUUUGGUGGUAAGGUGUCAGUAAUCAAGGACCAGCUUAGAAUUUGUCGAGCAAAGUUGGGUGAUUCCAUGUAUGGCGUGAGGGGCCUUCGCCACAUUUUGAUGCAGCUUUAUUCCAGUGCCAAUGUUAUUUCAAGCGUGUCUCUUGGAAAGGCUGUUGCUCCUGAUGUCUACAAAUUGUUUUUCUAUUUUCAGAUUCAUGAUAAAUUUGGUGUCAAUAAUCAAGGACCAGCUUAGGAUUUGUCGAGCAAAGUUGGGUGAUUCCAUGCAUCCUGUUUGACCCUUGUUUCGAUGACCAUGCAUUCCAAAAGGCUACCCUUAACGUAUUGGAAUUGUUGUUGUUGCUGCUGUUGUUUGUGUGCAUGAAUUAAGUUUGUAUUGGCUGGU